UGAGGAAUAUUGGGCAAUGGGCGCAAGCCUGACCCAGCCAAGCCGCGUGCAGGAAGACGGCCCUAUGGGUUGUAAACUGCUUUUAUACGGGAAGAACGCCAUUUUCGUGAAGAUGGGUGACGGUACUGUAUGAAUAAGCAUCGGCUAACUCCGUGCCAGCAGCCGCGGUAAUACGGAGGAUGCAGGCGUUAUCCGGAUUUAUUAGGUUUAAAGGGUGCGUAGGCGGGAUUAUAAGUCAGUGGUGAAAGAUUGCCGCUUAACGGUAAAAUUGCCAUAGAUACUGUAGUCCUUGAGUGUAGAUGAGGUAGGCGGAAUGUGUCAAGUAGCGGUGAAAUGCAUAGAUAUGACACAGAACACCGAUUGCGUAGGCAGCUUACUAAGCUACAACUGACGCUGAGGCACGAAAGCGUGGGGAUCAAACAGG
rnacentral:rRNA from 1 species